rnacentral:rRNA from 1 species
UACGUAGGGUGCAAGCGUUAAUCGGAAUUACUGGGCGUAAAGCGUGCGCAGGCGGUUAUGUAAGACAGGUGUGAAAUCCCCGGGCUUAACCUGGGAACUGCAUUUGUGACUGCAUAGCUAGAGUACGGCAGAGGGGGAUGGAAUUCCGCGUGUAGGCAGUGAAAUGCGUAGAUAUGACGGAGGAACACCGAUGGCGAAGGCAAUCCCCUGGGCCUGUACUGACGCUCCAUGCACGAAAGCGUGGGGAGCAAACAGGA